ACUGGCAACCUUUUGGUUCACAGGCAGGCACUCAAUCCAUGGAGCCACACCAGCCAGGGUGAAACAAGUGUUUUUAAUGGAAGCUUUCACUCAGGUCCUUGUCUACAUGUAUUCUAUUCCUUUUGCCCCAGCACCAACUCAGUUGUGGAACUCAGCCUCUUUUCUUUGAUUUUUGAGAACAACUCACAUAGGGCACUUGGGUUUGUGCCAGGCUUUACUGAACCAGCUUGGUGACUUUGGACAGAUUCCAAUGUACAACUUAAAAUCAGUUGUUAACUACUCCUGUUUUUUAAAUUGUUCUUUAGCUAUCUCACUUAUUGACAUUUUUUCUCUGGUAAUUUUCCUCCUGCCAUUCUUGUGCACUUUCCUGUCCUCUAAUGUUAGUUUCUAUUUUAGCUUCUAAGCUUACCUGUAUACUCAAAUCCCCAUUGUUCUUUUUGGCAGAGCAUUUUUGCUGUCUCUUUAACUGUUUCUUUCUACUGUAUUCAAGCCCUGUACAGAUGAGAGAAAAAUUAGCUGCAUGACCUUGAGGAUUCUGGCCUCUUAAUGAUCUCAGUUUGGGCUGCUAUAACAGAAUACCACAUACUUAUAAACAACAGAAAUUUGUUUCUCACAGUUCUGGAGGUUGGAAGUCUGACAUUAGAGUGCCAGCACAGUUAGAUUACGGUGUGGUCCUCUUCUAGGUUGAGGACUGCCAACUUCUUGCACUGUCUUUGCAUGGUGGAGAGGGGAUAAGGAAGUUUGUUGGAGUCCCUUCCAUUCCUGACUGUUCUACCCUCAUGAUCUAAUUACCUUCCAAAGGCCCCAUCUCCUGAUUCCCUAACAUUGGGGGUUAGAAUUUUAACAUAGGAAUUUUGGAGGGACACAAACAUUCAAUUUAUUGCAAUGAACAUACUAAUUUUCAAGUAUGGCUUUUUUCUUCCUUCCUUUACUCUCACAGAGUGAUCUUUACUAAUUCUUAGUGAUUGCUUACUGUGUGCCAGCCACUGUUCUGGGCAUGGGGAUUUAAGACAGAUGAGUCCUGCCUCAUUGAGGUUACACUCUAGUGGGAAAGACAGUGAUAAAAUAAAUAAAUUAUAACUUUCAAGAAACUAAAGCAGAUAUAGAGAUUGAAAAGGGUGCUAUUUUAUAUUCGGCAACAUCUCUUUGAGAGUGUGCUAUUUGAGCAGAAAUUUUAAUGAUCAAGACCUGCAUAUGUGUGGAGGAAGUGUUCAGGUCUAGGGAUAACUUUGCUCAGUUAUUUGACCAGGGGCUACCCUAAGGAUAGUGUGCUCUUUCAGAUGAAGCAGAUGGACCUUGGUGCAGCUAACACUGGAAAUUGUAAGCUAACCAUGCUUUUUCUAGAUGGUAGAAAGCUGUUUCUUGGAAGGGUAAUUUGAGUGGUACAUCUCUGAUUCUACCACAGGCCCUAAAACAGAAAUGUGUACAGUGUGUUCAAGGAACUGCAAGAAAGCUAAUGUAGCUGGAGAAGAGUGAGAGAUAGAGUGAUGAGGAAUGAAGUUGGAGAGGUAGCCAAGGGCCAGAACAAGUAGGAUCUAUAGGCUGUAGUAAGAUACUGAAUUUCAUUCUAAGUUUGGUAGAAAGCCAUUACAGCAAUUUGAGCAGGGGAAUUACAUUAUGUAUUUUACAUUUUAAAAAGGAUCCCUCUGGCUGACAAGAUAGGCUCUCUUUGCCACAUAAGUCAUUAUAUCCAUUUAUUUAAUACUAACCACUUCAAAACUUAGUGAUUUAAAACAACAAUGGCUUAUUUGUUCUCCAAGUUCUCUGGUUAUUCUGCUGGACUAACUGGAACUCAUUGACAUGGCUGGAGGUGGGUGUUCUAAGAUGACUUCACCCACAUGUUUGGAGCCUCAGCUGGUACAGCUGCAAUGACUGGGGUGGCUGAGGCUCUAUUCUUUCAUCCUGUGAUUCUUUAUAUGAAGGGGGAAGCAU